CAUGCAUGCAUGCAUGCAUGCAUGCAUGCAUGCAAUGUGGGCACUCGAGGCCUCGACAUUUCGUAGCGCUUGAUGAAGCCAGCAGACAAGGAAACCAAGGAAGGACAUAGGCAAAAUUAUACAUGAUGUUAAACUUGCGGUAACCUUCAUACGUAUUCUUGCUAGAUAAAAAGGGAAAUGAAAGUGGUGAAAGGAACACCGUACCAGCCUUACACUGCGAAAUCAUAGCACCAUUAUCUGAUUUACUCGGCGAUGUCUGAAGCACUCAUCAAAAAGCAUCAACGCGUUCGAUCUCCCAGAAGAGGUGUCUUUCUUCUCUUUUACCAUUGAGUUCCAAAAAUAGCGUUAUCGCGCAUACUGUCCUGUUUGCCUUAUCGUUUUCGAAUUCAAAGCAGGGCGUAUGACGUCGCCCUUGACGGCAUCGAUUCCGGUGUGCUUGAGCGCGUUACAUAAGGAGCAAGCAUUACACGAAAACACAGAGAGAGAUAGCGAGAGAGCGAGAGAGCGAAGUUGUGGGAGCGUCAAAGCCGGGGAAUUCUUCAAGGCCGGCUCCUGCGUCGGCAAUGACGUCACUACGGCUACCGCGCUGAGGCGACCGUACCUCCCGUGACCAGACCGGGCACUCUGCCAGGUAGAAGCCGAUGUCGCGGUCAUUCCCGCGUUUCACCGUCGGGUAAACAACCGCGAGGGCAGAUGCGCGUUCUGGUUGGGUCCACGGCAAAGGCAGAGUUCAGGCUGUCAAUCGUGUAGCGCUAAUGCCGUGCCACUGGCAUCCUAAAAAAAACACUUCCUUGAACUUCGCACGGUCCUAUAAAUAGACCAACGACUCUGACAGCAGAAACUCGAUGUUAAAAUGAAACGAGAAUAUAUAAAGUACCUGUCCGGGGCGAUGCGAGGUCAAUGCAAACACCUUCUUACUCGGUUCAUUUAUAGCAACCACCUGCUCACACUUGAAGGACCAGACCAGUCGUCUGCAGAUGGCCAUCUGAUCUAUAUAGCGAUAACGCUCCCUAAGACUACAAGUUUCACAUGAAGCUGUUGUUAUGCUUCGUGAUUUAGUGAACGGUGAAAGGGGGGCUAUAAGGCUCGCAACUUUAGAUUUUAGCCGACUGCGCUGUAGCAUAGGUAAUUACUCAUACGCAGGACAUCAUGUGAGGCGCCGUUGAAAUCUAUGCGUAAAAAGCCUGGCUACCGUUUUAAGCAAACUACGAAGCAUUUCCGGCUUAACGCACUUGAAAUAGCAUGUUUUUUUAACAUCUCUGCAGUUGUUUCAGGAACAUGAAGUCACUUUUGUUGACUGAAUUUCAAACAAGACGUCACGUCUACAUUCCGAAGCCGUAAAUAUUUUCCUUACCAACGGGGGACCUCUGCUGUGACCAGUUAGUAAAUUCGCCCGAAGUAGUUCAGGCAUUGCCUUAAAUUUUAUAUUAAAGAAAAAAAAAAACUUCGCGAGCGAGAAAUCCUCGUAAUCAUUCGCGUCCACCUUUUUGAUGUGUCGCAGGAACCAUACCCACGGUUGUUUACUCAUCUGAUUUUAAUCACGCGGACUACAUUGCAGUGUAAUAUACAUAGCAGCCACAGUAUUGAGACGAGAAAUGAGACAUUGGAAGGAUUCUGGAAGGUUGACAAUGGAAAAGAAUUGUAUUGAACUUGUCGCCUGCAUAAGUUUCUGAGAGCCCGCCAUGCUGGCGGUAAGACUUUAAUUACAUCGGACCCGUCAAAAUGUACAAAAAAAAAGGCAACGCAAAAAAGGAGUGAGAGGAUAAUUGAGACAAUCCGCCACUUGACCUGGAAGCAGAGAGCAUCUACACGGUGGCCCCGGCCAUUCAGAGCCUUCCCACUGGCUCGAGACCUUCGUUGCUCAAGGUAGCCGGCCUUAUCGUCGGAGGCCGACUCAAAAAAACAGAUGCGCAUUGCUCGGUACGCGGUGGCAACGACUAGAAGUUUGCACGACACCAAGUAGUAUUCAGAAGCAGGAAACGCGUUCUUUUUCAACGUUAAUCGUGCCGACAAAGGCACCCUUGCAAGCAAAGCAGACCUAUCUCGACACCGCGUCAGCUAGCACAGACUCGCUGUUGGAGGCCGCUGGUCGACUGCAUUUAUACGUGUAGCACAAUCGCAUAACGGCUGGAUAAACGCUGGCUAAGUGCGCACUGCCACGAUUACUGAGUUGAACCGCCUCGCCGGGUGCCCUUAGUAGCCGCGCUGGCUUUGCGCACCUCGUGAACACGCCCUCGGCGAAUCCUCCCUGCGCUCGUUUCAGUCAGUUGUGUGUUUACAUUGAAAUGGCAAAUGAAAUGCUGACUUUGGCAGUUCAUGGUAUAUUUCCUUUAAGUCUGUCUUGAGUAGUUUUAAAUUACAAGCAGUGAAAACGAUUUUGGAGCAUGUUGGUUCAUUAUGGAGCUUUGCUGUAGAGCACAAGGACGCGGGUUUGAUUUCCUUCCGCGUUGACGCGUUUGUGCUGGCGCAGGACGCAAGAAACUGCAUAGAAUCAAUCAAUCAAUCAAUCAAUCAAUCAAUCAAUCAAUCAAUCAAUCAAUCAAUCAAUCAAUCAAUCAAUCGAUCGAUCAAUCAAUCGAUCGAUCGCUCAAUAAAUCAGUCAAUCACCAACUAACCAACCCACCCACCCAAUCAAUCAAUCAAUCAAUCAACCGACGCCACAAUGCUGCGCGACUGCUGUUUUCAGUCGACAAAAUUGGAAAUGUGGCAUAAUUAGCGUACGGGCAUUCACCAGACAAGAUACGAUCUCGUUAGCGUCCUUCGUCCGUGUGCGAACGAGUUCUCUACGAGUGCUUCUGGGCACCUCGUCCCUGUUUGCGUUACGUAACCGUGACUAUCAAGGGCUAAUUCGUUUCUAGUUGUUAACACCGUGUAUCCCUUCUUCCUCCUCCUAUACCGUACAGUCACGCUCACUUCCUCGAGAACCAGCCGACGAGGGCAUUGUUCGGAAAAAGUAUGCGUCCGCAUCGUGCGUAUUCCAGCCAGUUCGCCGUAUUAAUGCUUUCGUUAUUUCAUGCCUACGUUUUUUUCUUCUUCUUUUUCUUUUUCGAACUCAUAAGGUCGCACCCGGUCUUGAGCGUACCCGAAGGCGCAUCGCUUCGCUCGUGAAGGAGGCAGUGCCUGCGCUGCCACGCACGCUUCCGCGUUCGGCUAUAAAAGGAAGGAAGGAAGUCUACGCAGCCGCGCGCGAGUGUGUGUCUGUGUGCGCCUGUCCAUGGCUUUAUACGCUUCUCGGGAAAGCGGGUCACUCGUGGCGUAGUGGAAGAGUACAAGCAAAAGUGAAAAAAAAAAGAGAAGCACAGAAGAGAGUGCGCGAAUUAUGGGUGGACAGUGCGCUAGGAAAAAAAGAAAAAAAAAAAACAUUGAGACACGCUGCAGUUCUUAUCCGCGAUGCGGAGCCAUGCUGUGUACAUACCUGCAGCGGCACGCUGCGUGGCUUUGAAAUUACGAUCCGAGUGUUCGAAAAUAGCGGUUUCCGAGGUCGCUGAUGUCUUGUCAGUCGUCCACCGGCCCUCUGAUAUACACAGGCUGUGCCGUUUCCUGAAUGCUCUUUCUCACUCGGGACUCUGUGUCAGCUGAUGGCGAUGCGCGCUUGCGAAUUGGGCUGCACGCGGGACAGCGCUUAAUUUGCCACCAACACCAACUGACGAUCCUGUCGUAUAAACCGAGCGUUCUCGUACAAUCGUUUCUUCCCUGUGUCUUGACUUUGCCUAUAGUGAUAUACAAUCAUACCUCGCUAACUAAUCUCCCUUCAGUCGCGCGUUGAAUUCAGAUAAUGACGGUACAUGCAACUCCAGCCCUGCCAUAUCACAUUGUAGUAUGCGGAUGCACGUCGGUGUUAACGCGCCAUCAGGGAUGCUGCUGUUGUGGCGCACAACACGCAAACGACUGCGAGUUAGAAGACAAGUUAGUUAUUAUUUAUGUUUUGAGUAAAUACGAAACGUAGGAGCCUCUGUCGCGCCCGCUUUCUGGUUGCCCUGUGACUUGCCGCGAUGUUCGGUUCCACUUAAAAAUAAAUAUAUACGACUGGCACACCCGGUCAUUUCAGAGGCAAACGGUAAAUACCCACGCCUUUCGUCACAUGAAUGGAACGAAUGAGUUUGCUCGAUGACAACAUAAGCACCCAUAGCUCGGCUUUACUCGAUUAAACGAUCAUAAGCGGCGAUCUGCUGUUUUGGAACAUAAGGAGAACCUAUACCACGAGGUUUUUGUGAAAGAGGACGUCGCAGUGAUUAGCGUAUCUUUGUGGAAGUGUCUCACUAUACAACUAACACGUUUGUUGGGAGACUCACGUCGUAUAUUUCUAGCGCUUCUAUAUUUUUUUAAUAACAAGUAUAAAGUGCUCUUUUGACGUCUUUCUGGCAUGCUCCGCUUUCAUUGAACGACGUCAUAGUUGCGGUUAUUUUUUCUUUGUAACUUUUAGAAGCUUGCAUCGUUAUUCACCUGUUCUCCCAUAAGUAUGCUACCGCUACUCGGAAACGGCUCGAUAUGCUUGCUGCCACUUUUUCCACCAGUAACAGCGGCGUUCCUGACAAAAGAUGUAACGACGCUGCGAACACGACGGACAACAGGCGCCGGCUGCACGCUCUUCUUGUGUAAGUCUCUAUUCCGUCAGUAAAAUGAUUGACGAGGUUCAAAGUUUCGAAUAGUGAAGCUGAGAGAGAUGCUGUAAUGGAGGACACCGAACCUAUUAUAGGCACCUGGGGUUCUUUAAAGUAUACCUAAGUAUAUGUGCGCGAACGGCAUUUGCAUUCUGACCCCUCUUAAAUGCAGCGGCCGCGUGAAGAAGUCGAGUCCAUGCCUUAUAGUGCUCAGAAGCAUAACAACACGCCCACUGAGUAAUCGCGUUGUAUAUACUCCGAGGGAAACGCGGUGCGAUUUUGGCCAGCCAUGAGUUCCGAUCUUCCUGACGAAAGCCUAUUAAUAAUAUGCGAGGUAAACGACUUAUCAACGCUUGGACUCACAAAAAGUCCUUAUGGUAACAGCUGUUCCAAAAAGCAGAUGCAACCAACCAUAACCUGGUUAUACUGUAACUAUCAUAACACCCAGAACUAUCAAGGCGGACCGGCCAAUGGAGAGUAGCGCUUACAAACAAAAAAACGUUUCAAAUUUGACCCCGUUCAGUAUUGCUUUUCUGUAGUUAUCAAUCACGGCUUUGACGGCCCUCUGUAGAAUCGUUCAUUUGGAGCCUCUCUCGUUCGAGUUAGCUGUUAGCGUCAACUCCACUCGGCCACGAAUCGCAGGCCGUGCCCCGAGGCAGCGCACGAAAUCAGGGUCCCUAAUAAGGUUUGACGGCGUUGCAGAGCUUUCCAUCACUGCCCUAGUUUGCGCUGAUCGGGCAUCGCUGAACAACCCUGACAACGGUACCACUAGAGGCCAUCAUGAUAGUAGUUAAACGCUCCAUCGCGAUCGCUAUCACCGUCCUUGGCGCCGGGCGAAUAUGCAGGGGUUGGUUUCGAA